CCUACGGGAGGCAGCAGUGAGGAAUAUUGGUCAAUGGACGAGAGUCUGAACCAGCCAAGUCGCGUGAAGGAUGACUGCCCUAUGGGUUGUAAACUUCUUUUAUAAAGGAAUAAAACGAGGCACGUGUGCCUUUUUGCAUGUACUCUAUGAAUAAGGAUCGGCUAACUCCGUGCCAGCAGCCGCGGUAAUACGGAGGAUCCGGGCGUUAUCCGGAUUUAUUGGGUUUAAAGGGAGCGUAGAUGGGUUGUUAAGUCAGUUGUGAAAGUUUGCGGCUCAACCGUAAAAUUGCAAUUGAUACUGGCAGUCUUGAGUACAGGUGAGGUAGGCGGAAUGCGUGGUGUAGCGGUGAAAUGCAUAGAUAUCACGAAGAACCCCGAUUGCGAAGGCAGCAUACUAAACUGUGACUGACAUUGAUGCACGAAAGUGUGGGUAUCAAACAGGAUUAGAUACCCGGGUAGUC
rnacentral:rRNA from 1 species